rnacentral:rRNA from 1 species
UGCAGUCGACGAAGCACCUUGGACAGAAUCCUUCGGGAGGAAGACCAUUGUGACUGAGUGGCGGACGGGUGAGUAACGCGUGGGUAACCUGCCUUGUACAGGGGGAUAACAGUUGGAAACGACUGCUAAUACCGCAUAAGCGCACAGUACCGCAUGGUACGGUGUGAAAAACUCCGGUGGUACAAGAUUGACCCGCGUCUGAUUAGCUAGUUGGUGAGGUAACGGCCCACCAAGGCGACGAUCAGUAGCCGACUUGAGAGAGUGAUCGGCCACAUUGGGACUGAGACACGGCCCAAACUCCUACGGGAGGCAGCAGUAGGGAAUAUUGCACAAUGGGGGAAACCCUGAUGCAGCGACGCCGCGUGAAGGAAGAAGUAUUUCGGUAUGUAAACUUCUAUCAGCAAGGAAGAAAAUGACGGUACUUGACUAAGAAGCCCCGGCUAAAUACGUGCCAGCAGCCGCGGUAAUACGUAUGGGGCAAGCAUUAUCCGGAUUUACUGGGUGUAAAGGGAGCGUAGGCGGCAUGGCAAGUCAGAAGUGAAAGCCUGGGGCUCAACCCCGGAAUUGCUUUUGAAACUGUCAGGCUAGAGUGUCGGAGGGGUAAGCGGAAUUCC